rnacentral:rRNA from 1 species
UACGUAGGGGGCAAGCGUUGUCCGGAAUCAUUGGGCGUAAAGCGCGUGUAGGCGGCUCGGUAAGUCUGUUCUGAAAGUCCAAGGCUCAACCUUGGGAUGCCGGUGGAUACUGUCGAGCUCGAGUCCGGAAGAGGAGUGUGGAAUUCCUGGUGUAGCGGUGAAAUGCGCAGAUAUCAGGAGGAACACCAAUGGCGAAGGCAGCACUCUGGGACGUGACUGACGCUGAGACGCGAAAGCGUGGGGAGCAAACAGG